GACAGAGGGUGCAAACGUUGCUCGGAAUUACUGGGUGUAAAGCGCGUGUAGGCGGGAGGCCAAGUCUGUGGUGAAAUCGCUCGGCUUAACUGGGCGGGGUCCAUGGAAACUGGUCACCUGGAGGUCGGUAGAGGCAAGUGGAAUUCCCGGUGUAGUGGUGAAAUGCGUAGAGAUCGGGAGGAACACCAGUGGCGAAGGCGGCCAUCUGGAUCAACACUGACGCUGAGGCACGAAAGCGUGGGGAGCAAACAGG
rnacentral:rRNA from 1 species